CGAGCGAGCGAGCGAGAGAAAGAGACAGACAGAAAGGAAGGAGGAGGAGGAGGAGGUGAAAAGAGAAAGAGUGAUCGGAGGAAAGAUCCCAGCAGCCGAGCCGUCCGCUCUUCCGCCUCUUCACCCGGGCCAAAGACAUCAAGCCAUGCUGACCUUGAAAAUCCUUUCCGGAUCCUGAAGGUAGAACUGGAGUUGUCGUUUUAACAUUGCAGCAUGGCGAAUACUUUUCGUCAACAGCCUUUAGAGUAGUUUCCAGGAGUUCAGAUUCCUCCCCAAAUCUAAUUACUGCCAGCAGAGAAGUGUCCAUAUUUGGACAUGGAAAAACACGCACAGCCUAAACAAAUGAACCAGCCUCAAAGGUAACCUAAUCCAAUCUCUUGUUGACGCAGAAUAUCUAGUGCUAUGGUAUCUGGAUAGGUCUGUUCCACCAUUGAACAGCUCACAAUGUCAGCAAUUUCUCCCUAUUACUUAGGCUAAAACCCUUUUCCUUGUCAUUUGAACCCAUUGGUUUGGUGUCCUACUCUCGAGAGCAACAGAGAACAAAUAUGCACUAUCAUCUAUGAGGCAGCAUUUCAAACAGUUGAAGAUGGCGGUCAUGUCACCUCUGAGUUGUCUCUUCCCCAGGUUAAGCAUUUCCAGCUCAUUCAACCUCUAUUCAGAGGACUUGGUUUUCAGGCACUUCACCAUCUUUUGCUCUCUGCAUAGCCAGGCUGGGUCAGGUAAGGUUAUCUAAUCAGCUUCAUAAUUAGGUGGGCCCCUGAAGCCCAGAUUUCCAGUCCAGACCCAACACUAGCCAUUAUACCACACAGGGCAUGUCCUUAGUAUCAGAUGCUGCUGUAACAAGUGGAUGGGGAUGUCCCUGUAGGCCACACUGGAUCUGCAAGCACUGAUAUAUUCUGUUGUAUCCUACUAAGUCUUGGGAUUCAACUCAGCUUGCACUGCAAACGGGAAGGGUAUCUAGACCUUCAACCUUCCUAGACUGUCAUUUUUGUGCUGAUGUGUUAGAGUGAUACUCUAAGGUUGCUGACCUCAUUUCCUACUUCCUGCUUCUUCAUCCUCAUCUUGGAAGAGGAGACAUCUUUUUGGGGAAUCUCGUGCUUCUGACAAAGUGCAAGUAUGGCUCUUUGUAUCUCCACCUGAGGAACUUUCCUAUCAAGUUUUCGGCUGGGAAAAACUCCUGCCACAGCAAAACAGGAGUCUGUAUGGCACUUUCCCCUCCUUCUUGCUCCAGAUGUCAUGUGGCUCCACACACUGCAGGAAGCGGAGCGGUACAAAGGAACGACUUGAUGGCCCUACUAUUUGACAGAGUAAGACAACUGCCUAUGUACCCGCUAAACUUGUCUGCUGGCCUCAGGUAGGGGGGAAGACAUGGCCAGGCAUGGUCUCCCUGCUUUCCACCCCACCAGUCCCAAUAGGCCCCAGCCACCACCAACGCUACCUCAUUACCAACUGCCAAGUCAGCCACCUUCUGUGCAUGGAAUUUGGAGAGGAGGAGCCAUCUUGUCCUUUGCCUCAGGUGGCAAAAUGCCUUGGCCACCCGCCACAAACCUCCCUUAUCAUUGCACAUUAUCUGAUUGCAGCCGCAUCUUAAUUUCUAUUUUCUUCCCACAUUGUUGGAACAUAUUUUCCUGUCAGCCAGAUAACUCCCAAAUAGCACACAUCACCUGAGGAAAACACGUUAACAACCUCCAUUAAGGCCAGCCUUGUUUUAGAUCUUGAAGUUUUCAACAGUUUUACAUGUUACAAGACAGUCCUUUGGAAAUGCCCAAGCUACAUACACACACACACACACACACACACACACACACACCAUGAGCCCUAGAAAUGUGCCUUUAGCCAAUGCCUGCACAAUAUGUACUGGUUGUAUCUGAGUUAUUAUUAACAUUUCCCUCCCUUUGCACCUAAUCCCUUAUGCCUUUUAUUAUAAUCCCACACAUUACAGUUAAUCUGUAAUGAUACUGCUUCAGAGGGACCUGUUGCUCACAGUGAUGGUAAUUUGUAACCUUGGUAACAAUUUAAAUAAUGAAUCUAACAAUGAUGUCUACCGUAUUUCUACAGUAGGAGGAGCCUAAGAAUUAUUGCUUCUGUGAGAGAAUGAAUUUAAAGAAAACAUCAAAGGCGGAUUCGACAUUCUGAGUAGCUAGAAUUUCAUCAUUUUUAUUGGUUUUUCCCCCAGGAUUGACAUUGGAUUAAUGUGUGUUUAGGUGAUUGGCUGGCUUCCUUUGAGUAGAUUAAUAUAUCCAAGAAUAUAUAUAUAUAACCAACUAUAUAUAUAUACACAUAUAUCUAUAAAUUAAAAAUUUAAUAUGUUACAAAAGUAUUACUGUAUAUCGAUAAAAGUUAGUGAACUACUAUCUUUCUACUAUCUUUCUCUCUAUAAGUGUGUGUUAUCUAUCUAUCCAAACAUUUACUAUUUAUCUAUUUCAUAAAAUCUAUAUACCACUUGAUUGCAGAAAAAACUUUGAAGCAGUUUUGAAAAAACGAUAAAACAAUAAAUUCACGGCUAAAAAAUUACAGCUAUAAUUUGAAACAUACAGGAAGAGAAAACCACAAUAGACUAAAACAAGUUAAAACCAGUAUACCUGAAGGAGCGUCUCCACCCCCAUUGUUCUGCCCGGACACUGAGGUCCAGCGCCGAAGGCCU